rnacentral:rRNA from 1 species
UACGUAGGGUGCGAGCGUUAAUCGGAAUUACUGGGCGUAAAGCGUGCGCAGGCGGUUUGCUAAGACCGAUGUGAAAUCCCCGGGCUUAACCUGGGAACUGCAUUGGUGACUGGCAGGCUAGAGUAUGGCAGAGGGGGGUAGAAUUCCACGUGUAGCAGUGAAAUGCGUAGAGAUGUGGAGGAAUACCGAUGGCGAAGGCAGCCCCCUGGGCCAAUACUGAUGCUCAUGCACGAAAGCGUGGGGAGCAAACAGG